CUGCUCACUUCAGCAUCAUAUAUACUAAUAUUGGAACAAUACAGAGAAGAUUAGUGUGACCCCUGCACAAGAUGAGAAGCAAAUUCAGGAAGUGUUCCAUAUUAAA